rnacentral:rRNA from 1 species
UGAAUACGAGAUGCUACGGCGUCGAAGCAGUCUAUGUCAUACUUCCAAGAAAAGCUCGCACUGUCAUAAACAAAUAAUGCCUGUACCAUAACCGACACAGGUGGGUAGGUAGAGUAUACUAAGGGGCGCGAGAUAACUCUCUCUAAGGAACUCGGCAAAAUGACUCCGUAACUUCGGGAGAAGGAGUGCCUUAUUUAUAAGGUUGCAAUAACAAGAUCCAAGCAACUGUUUAUCAAAAACACAGGUCUCCGCUAAGUCGUAAGACGAUGUAUGGGGGCUGACGCCUGCCCAGUGCCAGAAGGUUAAAGAAGUUGGUUAGCAUUCGCGAAGCUGAUAACUGAAGCCCUGGUGAACGGCGGCCGUAACGAUAACGGUCCUAAGGUAGCGAAAUUCCUUGUCGGGUAAGUUCCGACCCGCACGAAAGGCGUAAUGAUUUGGAUACUGUCUCGGAGAGGGGCUCGGUGAAAUAGACUUGUCUGUGAAGAUGCGGACUACCUGCACCAGGACAGAAAGACCCUAUGAAGCUUUACUGUAACUUGAGAUUGAAAUUGGACUUUACUUGCGCAGUAUAGGUGGGAGGCGUUGAUAAUAUUCUUGCGGGAUUAUUUGAGCCAUCAGUGAGAUACCACUCUUGUAAUGUUAGAUUUCUAACUUUGUAUCAUUAUCUGGUCAAAGGACAGUUUCAGGCGGGCAGUUUGACUGGGGCGGUCGCCUCCUAAACGGUAACGGAGGCGCACAAAGGUUUCCUCUGAACGGGUAGAAAUCGUAUCUAGAGUGUAAAGGCAUAAGGAAGCUUGACUGUGAGACCUACAAGUCGAGCAGGGACGAAAGUCGGUCUUAGUGAUCUGACGGUGCUGAGUGGAAAGGCCGUCACUCAACGGAUAAAAGUUACUCUAGGAUAACAGGCUGAUCUCCCCCAAGAGUUCACAUCGACGGGGAGGUUUGGCACCUCGAUGUCGGCUCAUCGCAUCCUGGGGCGGUAGUACGUCCCAAGGGUUGGGCUGUUCGCCCAUGAAAGCGGUACGCGAGCUGGGUUCAGAACGUCGUGAGACAGUUCGGUCCAUAUCCGGUGUAGGCGUUAGAAUAUUGAGAGGAGCCUUCUUUAGUACGAGAGGACCGAGAAGGACAUACCUCUGGUGUACCAGUUAUCGUGCCAACGGUAAACGCUGGGUAGCUAUGUAUGGAGUGGAUAACCGCUGAAAGCAUCUAAGUGGGAAGCCCACCUCAAGAUAAG